rnacentral:rRNA from 1 species
GCUUGACACUGAACAUUGAGCCUUGAUGUGUAGGAUAGGUGGGAGGCUUUGAAGUGUGGACGCCAGUCUGCAUGGAGCCAACCUUGAAAUACCACCCUUUAAUGUUUGAUGUUCUAACGUUGCCCCGUUAUCCGGGGUGCGGACAGUGUCUGGUGGGUAGUUUGACUGGGGCGGUCUCCUCCCAAAGAGUAACGGAGGAGCACGAAGGUUGGCUAAGCAUGGUCGGACAUCAUGCGGUUAGUGCAAAGGCAUAAGCCAGCUUGACUGCGAGAGUGACGGCUCGAGCAGGUACGAAAGUAGGUCAUAGUGAUCCGGUGGUUCUGAAUGGAAGGGCCAUCGCUCAACGGAUAAAAGGUACUCCGGGGAUAACAGGCUGAUACCGCCCAAGAGUUCAUAUCGACGGCGGUGUUUGGCACCUCGAUGUCGGCUCAUCACAUCCUGGGGCUGAAGUCGGUCCCAAGGGUAUGGCUGUUCGCCG